rnacentral:lncRNA from 1 species
GGGUGUUUUUUUUCUCUCUCUCUAAUCGCGAUUUGCUCAAAACAGAGAAACUGGAGGCGAUUUCAGGAUGUGAAUGACCUCCGGCCGUCGUUCUUCCGUUACCCCAUCAUCUCCACCGACUCCGGUUGUCCACGGCGUCUUCGGUUCGAGCGUCGCUGUUGCAGAUUUGUUCGAUCUUCAGCCUUCGAUUUGUGCCAUUGUAUCAAGUAUCAAUCGAUACUCUUCUUUGCUUUUUGGUUACUCUGUCAUGUGUUUGAAUUUUGAAUCUGCUUUUGAUUUGUGCCAUUGUAUCGAGUAUUGACGAUGCUGCUCACAAACAACAACUAUUGAAUCUGAAUUUCACAUUUGAUACUAUCUUUAUGAUGAUGAUUUGAUUUGGUAGUGAAAUUUGUGCUGGAGUGAUUAUGCUUUGAUAUGUUUCAUGAUUGUGAUCAUGUUUCUCUUGAAACUCUCAGUUGUGUAUCAGUGUUAAUCAAUGUAUAAUCAUGUUAUCUAGUGAAUAUUUUUGCUUUUGACUUAGGAUGUUCAUAAAUUUGUGGUCAUGGAUUCGUUAAAGAGUCCAACAUUGAUUCCUCAGUUAAAAGAUGAAUUUUUCUCUCUGUUCCUAUGUUUAGCUUGGAAUAGAGUAAUGGGUCUUAUAGAGACAUCUUAUGGUUAGAUUUGGUUCAAUUAUAUAGUUUAAUCAUGGGCUGCUAUGUAGCUGCUGUCAAAGGAUGGCUUCUUGGAGUCUUUGGCUAGUAUGAUCUUGACUUCCGAUGGCUUUUCAUACGUUCUGUGAUUGGCUUCUCUUCUAUCUAGUUUAGAUCUCUACACAAGCCACCAUAGGUUUUUAAAACUUUGUUUCACUUGUUACAAUUUCUCGAUUCUUUUUUUUUUUAUGAUUUCUUCUUCUCAAUUUCUGCGUGCUUAUUAUUCUAAAUAGUGAGAAUGCUAUGGACUGGAGA